rnacentral:rRNA from 1 species
CUUGCCUCUUGGUUUGGGACAACUGUUGGAAACGACAGCUAAUACCGGAUAUUAUGAGAUUCUCGCAUGGGAAACUUAUGAAAGCUAUAUGCGCCAAGAGAGAGCCUUGCGUUCCAUUAGCUAGUUGGUGGGGUAACGGCCCACCAAGGCGACGAUGGAUAGCCGGCCUGAGAGGGUGAACGGCCACAAGGGGACUGAGACACGGCCCUUACUCCUACGGGAGGCAGCAGUGGGGAAUAUUGGACAAUGGGCCACAAGCCUGAUCCGGCAAUUCUGUGUGCACGAUGAAGGUCUUCGGAUUGUAAAGUGCUUUCAGUUGGGAAGAAGAAAGUGACGGUACCAACAGAAGAAGCGACGGCUAAAUACGUGCCAGCAGCCGCGGUAAUACGUAUGUCGCAAGCGUUAUCCGGAUUUAUUGGGCGUAAAGCGCGUCUAGGCGGAAAAAUAAGUCUGAUGUUAAAAUGCGGGGCUCAACUCCGUAUUGCGUUGGAAACUGUUUUUCUAGAGUACUGGAGAGGUGGGCGGAACUAC